UUAUAAAAAUUAAAAUUAAAAAUCAACAGCAAUCAAUUAUUAUAAUAUUAUUAUUUUAUAAAUAUUUAGAUACGUGUAAUAAAUAGAUUAGGUGAUUGCUGAUAUGAUUAGUAUCGUAAAGCCCGUGAUAAUAAAAAGGCCCAAUAUUAGUUUUCAGUACUUGUUUGUUUCAGCUUCUUCUACGCAAAGAGUACGGACACAUCGGAGGAGAUCAAUGGAGUCUUACGACGAAGACAACAGGCCUAGAUUCGUCUUCCGAUCUCGUCCUUCCUCUGCUCUCACGGCGGAGGAAAACGUCCCUAAACCACCGAACAAGAUCUUCAUCUCAGUCUCCGUCGUUAUCUCUCUCAUCGUUAUGUCCCUCUCCUUCUUCUACUUCGAAUCCGAGCCUACCAAAUCGCUCCUCUUAUGGCUCUCAAUCUCCGUCCUCGUCGGUCCUUUCGCGCCUUCUUCUCUCACCGGCGGUAGAAUCCGCGUCGGUUACGGUCAGAUCUUGGAGCAAGAUCAGAUCAACGAAGAUCUCUCGAGGAGGAACAAACGAUCUAACAAAAUGGCGCCAAUGAGCUAGGCAUUGAGGGAUAUCUGAUCUGAUUGGGGCAAAUAUGGUGAGAGGGAGAAGAUUUUUGUUGUUGCUGCUUUAGUUUUCUAGACUACGCGGGGAAAGUGUCUUUCUAGACAUACAAAAAAACAUAUCAAUAUGCCACAGGAAGUAACAUAGAUUUUUUUUGAGCAACUAUAAACAUAAUAUUAUUUUUGCAAUUACUAUUAUUCUUUAUUUAUUUAUUUUGGUUUAAAAACAUAAUAUAAUUUAACAAUAAUUUUUUUCCUUUUUUUAGAA